rnacentral:rRNA from 1 species
GACGAACGCUGGCGGCGCGCCUAACACAUGCAAGUCGAACGAGAGAUGAGGAGCUUGCUCUUCAAAUCGAGUGGCGAACGGGUGAGUAACGCGUGAGGAACCUGCCUCAAAGAGGGGGACAACAGUUGGAAACGACUGCUAAUACCGCAUAAGCCCACGGCUCGGCAUCGAGCAGAGGGAAAAGGAGUGAUCCGCUUUGAGAUGGCCUCGCGUCCGAUUAGCUGGUUGGUGAGGUAACGGCCCACCAAGGCGACGAUCGGUAGCCGGACUGAGAGGUUGAACGGCCACAUUGGGACUGAGACACGGCCCAGACUCCUACGGGAGGCAGCAGUGGGAAUAUUGCACAAUGGGGGAAACCCUGAUGCAGCGACGCCGCGUGGAGGAAGAAGGUCUUCGGAUUGUAAACUCCUGUUGUUGAGGAAGAUAAUGACGGUACUCAACAAGGAAGUGACGGCUAACUACGUG